UCCCUGGUGGUCCAGUGGUUAGGUCUCUGCACUUCCAUUGCAGGGGACGCUGGUUCGAUCCCUGGUCAGGGAA